UUAUUGGAGAGUUUGAUCCUGGCUCAGGACGAACGCUGGCGGCAUGCCUAAUACAUGCAAGUCGAGCGGACUUGAAGAGAAGCUUGC
rnacentral:rRNA from 1 species